AGAGCGCAGGGAGGAUGCCUUGGCAUCAGGAGCCGAUGAAGGACGCGGUAAGCUGCGAAAAGCUCCGGGGAGUGGCAAGCACACAUUGAUCCGGAGAUGUCCGAAUGGAGCAAUCCACAUGAGUGAAGCUCAUGUAUCAUAUACUGAAUAAAUAGGUAUAUGAGGGGAACCGUCUGAACUGAAACAUCUAAGUAGGACGAGGAAAAGAAAUCAACCGAGAUUCCGCUAGUAGUGGCGAGCGAACGCGGAAGAGGCUAAACCAGAGUCAGCAAUGACUUUGGGGUUAGGACUGCAUUUAGUAUCAAUGAGGUCUAGUCGAAGUACAUGGGAAGGUACAUCGAAGAGGGUGAGAAUCCCGUAGACGAAAGAUCAAGUUGGCGAGCAGUAUCCAGAGUACCGCCGGACACGUGAAACCCGGUGGGAACAUGGGGGGACCAUCCUCCAAGCCUAAAUACUACCUGAUGACCGAUAGCGCAUAGUACUGUGAAGGAAAGGUGAAAAGAACCCCGGGAGGGGAGUGAAAGAGAGCCUGAAACCCUGUGCUUACAAGCACACAGAGCACGUCAAAGUGUGAUGUGGUACCUAUUGUAGAAUGGUCCGGCGAGUUAUUUUAUGCAGCGAGGUUAAGGACUUAAGGUCUGUAGCCGAAGUGAAAGCGAGUGUUAAUAGCACGAAACAGUUGCAUGCAAUAGACCCGAAACCGGGUGACCUAUCCAUGUCCAGGCUGAAGUGAGGGUAAAACCUCAUGGAGGGCCGAACCGACUCCCGUUGAAAUGGUAGCGGAUGAGGUGUGGAUAGCGGAGAAAUUCCAAUCGAACCCGGAUAUAGCUGGUUCUCCCCGAAACCGUUUUAGGACGGGCCUCGUGUGAAGAUUAUCGGAGGUAAAGCACUGAAUAGCCUAGGGGGCGAGAGCCUACCGAAGCUUAUCAAACUCUGAAUGCCGAAUAAUCGUUUCACGGGAGUCAGACUGUGUGAGAUAAGUUUCAUAGUCAAAAGGGAAACAGCCCAGACCCACAGCUAAGGUCCCAAAGUGUAUUUAAGUGGAAAACGAUGUGAAGUUGCGUAGACAACCAGGAUGUUGGCUUAGAAGCAGCCACUCAUUAAAAGAGUGCGUAAUAGCUCACUGGUCGAGUGACUUUGCGCGGAAAAUUUAACGGGGCUAAAAUACACACCGAAGCUUGGGCUUGACGCAUAGCGUCAGGGGUAGGGGAGCGUCGUGUAAGGGGCGAAGUCGUAUCGUAAGGGACGGUGGACUUUACACGAGUGAGAAUGCCGGAAUGAGUAGCGAGAAUUAUGUGAGAAUCAUAAUGGUCGAAAGCCUAAGGUUUUUGGAGGAAGGUUCGUCCGCUCCAAGUAAGCCGGGAGCUAAGGUCAGGCGGAAACGCGUAGCCGAUGCACAUACGGUUGAAAUUCCGUAGCCUCAGAAAGAUUUAAGCGAAGGGACACUUUGAAAGGACUGUUGCCGGGUGUUGGUUACCCCGGUCGUAAGGGAACGAAAUUAAGUAGUGAAGGCAGUCUGGACGGAGGCGAGAAAAGCUUCGUGUAUAUCUUAUGAGCCCGUACCGCAAACCGACACAGGUAGGUGGGAUGAGAAUUCUAAGACCAACGGGAGAAGGGUAGUUAAGGAACUCGGCAAAUUGUCCCCGUAACUUCGGAAUAAGGGGAGCCUGCGAAAGCAGGCCGCAGAGAAUUGGCCCAGGCGACUGUUUAUCAAAAACACAGCUCUAUGCUAAAUCGAAAGAUGACGUAUAUGGGGUGACACCUGCCCGGUGCUGGAAGGUUAAGAGGAGAUGUGAGAGCAUCGAAUUGAAGCCCCAGUAAACGGCGGCCGUAACUAUAACGGUCCUAAGGUAGCGAAAUUCCUUGUCAGGUAAGUUCUGACCCGCACGAAUGGUGUAACGAUCUGGGCACUGUCUCGACUACCCGCCCGGCGAAAUUGUAGUACCGGUGAAGAUGCCGGUUACCCGCGACUAGACGGAAAGACCCCAUGGAGCUUUACUGUAGCUUAAUAUU
rnacentral:rRNA from 1 species